UGGGGAAUAUUGCACAAUGGGCGCAAGCCUGAUGCAGCCAUGCCGCGUGUGUGAAGAAGGCCUUAGGGUUGUAAAGCACUUUCAGCGAGGAGGAAGGCAUCAUACUUAAUACGUGUGGUGAUUGACGUUACUCGCAGAAGAAGCACCGGCUAACUCCGUGCCGGCAGCCGCGGUAAUACGGAGGGUGCAAGCGUUAAUCGGAAUUACUGGGCGUAAAGCGCACGCAGGCGGUUUGUUAAGUCAGAUGUGAAAUCCCCGCGCUUAACGUGGGAACUGCAUUUGAAACUGGCAAGCUAGAGUCUUGUAGAGGGGGGUAGAAUUCCAGGUGUAGCGGUGAAAUGCGUAGAGAUCUGGAGGAAUACCGGUGGCGAAGGCGGCCCCCCUGGACAAAGACUGACGCUCAGGUGCGAAAGCGUGGGGA
rnacentral:rRNA from 1 species